rnacentral:rRNA from 1 species
UACGUAGGGGGCAAGCGUUGUCCGGAUUUAUUGGGCGUAAAGAGCGUGUAGGCGGCCACGCAGGUCCGUUGUGAAAACUGGAGGCUCAACCUCCAGCUGUCGACGGAAACCGUGUGGCUAGAGUCCGGAAGAGGAGAGUGGAAUUCCUGGUGUAGCGGUGAAAUGCGCAGAUAUCAGGAAGAACACCAAUGGCGAAGGCAGCUCUCUGGGACGGUACUGACGCUGAGACGCGAAAGCGUGGGGAGCGAACAGG